CGGACGGGUGAGUAAUGCUUGGGAAUCUGGCUUGUGGAGGGGGAUAACUACGGGAAACUGUAGCUAAUACCGCGUAGUAUCGAAAGAUGAAAGUGUGGGACCGCAAGGCCACAUGCCAUGAGAUGAGCCCAAGUGGGAUUGGGUAGUUGGUUAGGUAAAGGCUGACCAAGCCGACGAUCUCUAGCUGGUCUGAGAGGAUGACCAGCCACACUGGAACUGAGACACGGUCCAGACUCCCUACGGAGGCAGCAGUGGGGAAUAUUGCACAAUGGGGGAAACCCUGAUGCAGCCAUGCCGCGUGAAUGAAGAAGGCCUUCCGGUUGUAAAGUUCUUUCGGUGAUGAGGAAGGUGCUUGUUUAAUAAGACAAGCAAUUGACGUUAGUCACAGAAGAAGCACCGGCUAACUCCGUGGCAGCAGCCGCGGUAAUACGGAGGGUGCGAGCGUUAAUCGGAAUAACUGGGCGUAAAGGGCAC
rnacentral:rRNA from 1 species